rnacentral:rRNA from 1 species
GAUGAACGCUGGCGGCGUGCCUAAUACAUGCAAGUCGAGCGAACGGACGAGAAGCUUGCUUCUCUGAUGUUAGCCGCGGACGGGUGAGUAACACGUGGAUAACCUACCUAUAAGACUGGGAUAACUUCGGGAAACCGGAGCUUAUACCGGAUGAUAUUUUGAACCGCAUGGUUCAAAAGUGAAAGACGGUCUUGCUGUCACUUAUAGAUGGAUCCGCGCUGCAUUAGCUCGUUGGUAAGGUAACGGCUUACCACGGCAACGAAGCAUAGCCGACCUGAUAGGGUGAUCGGCCACACGGGAACUUAGACACGGUCCAGACUCCUACGGGAGGCAGCAGUAGGGAAUCUUCCGCAAUGGGCGAAAGCCUGACGGAGCAACGCCGAGUGAGUGAUGAAGGUCUUCGGAUCGUAAAACUCUGUUAUUAGGGAAGAACAUAUGUGUAAGUAACUGUGCACAUCUUGACGGUACCUAAUCAGAAAGCCACGGCUAACUACGUG